AUGAACGCUGGCGGCGUGCCUAAUACCUGCAAGUCGAGCGCACAGAUGAGGAGCUUGCUCCUCUGACGUUAGCGGCGGACGGGUGAGUAACACGUGGAUAACCUACCUAUAAGACUGGGAUAACUUCGGGAAACCGGAGCUAAUACCGGAUAAUAUAUUGAACCGCAUGGUUCAAUAGUGAAAGACGGUUUUGCUGUCACUUAUAGAUGGAUCCGCGCCGCAUUAGCUAGUUGGUAAGGUAACGGCUUACCAAGGCGACGAUGCGUAGCCGACCUGAGAGGGUGAUCGGCCACACUGGAACUGAGACACGGUCCAGACUCCUACGGGAGGCAGCAGUAGGGAAUCUUCCGCAAUGGGCGAAAGCCUGACGGAGCAACGCCGCGUGAGUGAUGAAGGUCUUCGGAUCGUAAAACUCUGUUAUUAGGGAAGAACAAAUGUGUAAGUAACUAUGCACGUCUUGACGGUACCUAAUCAGAAAGCCACGGCUAACUACGUG
rnacentral:rRNA from 1 species